UACGGGGGGGGCAAGCGUUGUUCGGAAUUACUGGGCGUAAAGGGCUCGUAGGCGGCCAACUAAGUCAGACGUGAAAUCCCUCGGCUUAACCGGGGAACUGCGUCUGAUACUGGAUGGCUUGAGGUUGGGAGAGGGAUGCGGAAUUCCAGGUGUAGCGGUGAAAUGCGCAGAUAUCAGGAGGAACACCGGUGGCGAAGGCGGUGAUCUGGGCCGACACUGACGCUGUAGAGCGAAAGCGUGGGGAGCGAACAGG
rnacentral:rRNA from 1 species